rfam:Gossypium raimondii Chr08_contig_844, whole genome shotgun sequence.
UAUUAAAAAUUUCAUUCAUUUUUAGUAUUAAAAACUGACUUCACUUACGAAAUAACCCAAUAAUAAUGACACGUGUAUUUUAUCCAGACGUAGUGGGACCAAUUUUUAAGAGUAAAAAAUUAAUGAAAUUUUUAACC